UACGGAGGGUGCAAGCGUUAAUCGGAAUUACUGGGCGUAAAGCGCACGCAGGUGGCUGAGUCAGUCGAUUGUGAAAGCCCUGGGCUUAACCUGGGAAUUGCAGUCGAUACUACUCAGCUAGAGUAUUGGGAGAGGGCAGUGGAAUUCCCGGUGUAGCGGUGAAAUGCGUAGAUAUCGGGAGGAACAUCAGGUGGCGAAGGCGGCUGCCUGGCCCAAUACUGACACUCAGGUGCGACAGCGUGGGGAGCAAACAGG
rnacentral:rRNA from 1 species